rnacentral:rRNA from 1 species
GAUGAACGCUGGCGGUCUGCUUAACACAUGCAAGUCGAACGGAAUCCUUCGGGAUUUAGUGGCGGACGGGUGAGUAACCCGUGAGAAUCUGCACUCAGGAUGGGGACAACAGCGGGAAACUGCUGCUAAUACCCACUGUGCCGAAAGGUAAAAGAUUUACCGCCUGAGAAUGAGCGCGCGGCCGAUUAGUUAGUGGGUGGGGUAAUGGCCUACCAAGACGGCGAUCGGUAGCUGGUCUGAGAGGAUGAGCAGCCACACUGGGACUGAGACACGGCCCAGACUCCUACGGGAGGCAGCAGUGGGGAAUUUUCCGCAAUGGGCGCAAGCCUGACGGAGCAAGACCGCGUGGGGGAGGAAGGCUCUUGAGUUGUAAACCCCUUUUCUCAGGGAAGAAGUUCUGACGGUACCUGAGGAAUCAGCCUCGGCUAACUCCGUGCCAGCCGCCGCGGUAAGAC